AAUUACUGGGCGUAAAGCGAGCGUAGGUGGCUUGAUAAGUCAGAUGUGAAAUCCCCGGGCUUAACCUGGGAACUGCAUCUGAUACUGUUAGGCUAGAAUAGGUGAGAGGAAGGUAGAAUUCCAGGUGUAGCGGUGAAAUGCGUAGAGAUCUGGAGGAAUACCGAUGGCGAAGGCAGCCUUCUGGCAUCAUAUUGACACUGAGGUUCGAAAGCGUGGGUAGCAAACAGGAUUAGAUACCCUGGUAGUCCACGCCGUAAACGAUGUCUACUAGUCGUUGGGUCCCUUGAGGACUUAGUGACGCAGCUAACGCAAUAAGUAGACCGCCUGGGGAGUACGGCCGCAAGGUUAAAACUCAAAUGAAUUGACGGGGGCCCGCACAAGCGGUGGAGCAUGUGGUUUAAUUCGAUGCAACGCGAAGAACCUUACCUGGUCUUGACAUAUC
rnacentral:rRNA from 1 species